rnacentral:misc_RNA from 1 species
UCGAAUGAACGGUUUAUUGUGUCUGUAAAUUUAUUUUGCUGUUUUUCCCGGACAAGAUCGCGCGAUCUUUGAUAUAAAGUGAGGCGAGGAUUAUUGAUAAGUGUUGUCGUUGCUGCGUCGUCGGGUUUUAUGCCUCUAGUUGCAGACAAGGGAGACUUAACUAGGUUUUAAACAACAUUAUUCAAAAAUGAAGGUGAAGGAAAUUGCCAGAACUGCAAAUAUUGCAUGGAGACCUGCAUCCCAUCAUCCAAUAUAUCUUGCAGCAGGAACUGCAGCACAGCAACUAGAUGCCACAAUUAGCACCACAGCAGCCUUGGAGCCUUUUGCUCUUGAUCUUACAAGCGGUGACAGAGAAAUGCCUGUGAAAGGCAAACUUUCUUCUGAGCACAGGUUCAAUAAAUUAGUCUGGGGUACAUAUGGUAUGGAGAAAGAAGAAACACCCAACGGGAUAUUGGUUGGUGGAACCGACAGUGGUGAUUUGGUUAUGUGGAAUCCUUUGAAAAUACUGAAUGGAGAGACAGAAGAUGCGGUUUUGUUUCAAAGUGAUAAACAUACAGGUGCUGUGCAAGCGCUGGAUCUCAAUCCAUUUCAACCAAACCUCAUUGCCUCAGGUGCUUGUGAUUCUGAAAUCUACGUGUGGGACCUUAAAUCCCCAGACAAUCCCCACUCACCUGGAGCUAAAUCACUCCCCCCUGAUAAUAUAAGUUGUCUGGGAUGGAACAGACAAGUUACGCAUAUCCUUGCGUCAACAUCACCCUGCGGACGCUGUGUAGUGUGGGACCUGAGGAAAAACGAGCCCAUUAUUAAAGUCAGCGACCAAGAAGGAUCCAUGCACAUAUAAAGGUCACGAAAAAAACGGAAAAUAACGCCCGAGUGUAUGAUAGAAAGCACGCGUUUACCUACUGCGGCCAGCUAUGUGCGAAGAUUGCAAGACAUCUUGUCACAAAACACAAGAUGGAAGAAGAAGUGAUGUCUGCCUUAGCACAUAAGAAGAAAUCAUCGGAACGAAGAACAAUAUUAGACAAGCUUCUCCAGGGUGAUUAUCACCACAAUAUGAAUACCUUGGAGACGGGUGAAGAAGAGCUAAUAAUAGUGCGAAGACCUGGGGAAGACGGGAAGUACCGCAUUGAGGACUUUUUACCCUGCGAGUUUUGUUUGGGGUUUUUCCGUAGCCUCAAUAUGGUUGAAACAAGAGGGAAACGAGGUCGCAAAGUUCCCAUCAUUCACCUUCUCAACUCGUUGCGAUCUAAAGUUGGAAUAAACGAGGAGAAUGGGUAUGUCUUUGCUCGGGUAAACAGAGAUUCCUUGGAACCACUAAGAGGAUGGGACUGCCUGAGGUACUGUGCUACGGAAUGUCAGCCCAAGUUAAAGAAUCCCGACGCCAUAACCAGUACAAAACUGCGAAAAUACAUCUUGACCAUCACGCAGGUUCUUUCUCUGGAAGAAAAGAAACUAGAUUGGCUAGCAAAGCACCUCGGGCACGACAUCCGUACUCAUCGAGAGUAUUAUCGGCUUCACGGAUCAACGAUUGAGAUUGCGAAAAUCAGCAAACUUCUGCUAGCUGUGGAUAGUGGAAGGGCAUGUUCAUUGAAAGGCAAAUCUCUAGAGGAAAUAACACUCGAAGAUAUAUCCGAGCCAGAACUGAGUGAAGAUGAGAAAGGUGAUUGCGAGGAAACUAAUAGUGACGAAGUACUGUACAUGCUGAAAAACCACAAACUUCUGCGACGCUACACCACAGGGGGUCAGUUGCAAAGACUGGUGCUGAGUAUAUUAUAUUGAGAUUGCUAGAGAGAUGACAGGGUCAGAGGGGCUCAAUUCAACGUAUUCUUAUCCCAACUUAUUCAGCAUCCAAAUCAAAGAAACCAAGGUUUCUUGACAAGGCUGACGAUGAGUGGCUACCCGGACAAUCUUACAAGGCACAUGGUUCAAAAGUACGCAGUGGUUCAGCAGCAAAAUCUAAAUGUAAACAAGUAGAUCUAACGUGGUCAAAGGAGGAAAAGAAGUGUGUAUUAGACCACUUGGGCCAUCUUAUUCGACAAGGAAGGGUGCCGAAUAAGAAAGAAAGUUGUGACUGUAUCCUAAAAGGAAAGGACGUCCUGAAAGAUCGCGAUUGUAAAAGUGUGAAGUAUUGGAUUAAAAAUCAGAUAACGAAAAGAAAAAACACAAAGAGUUAAGUCACAAGCUAAAGUAAUGAUCUGUGUUUAGUCACCACCUUUUACACCUUGAAUUACACGUUUUAAUAAUUCCUUGCAUUACGUCAUUGCAAACAACCAAUUGGCACAAAAUUAUUUAAUUAUCAAAUCAUGAAUUAAGUUAUCGUGACAAUCAAUCGAAUGUUACGAUAAUCGAUUAAACAUUAUGAAUUAAAAUUUGAAGCAGGUACAGAAUCAAUUCCCUAAAACGUUCGUCUGUUAUUUCAUAACAACGCACAGCCGCCUACAAGAUGACAUUAUGCGGUUCUGCUUUUAUUCAAUAUCAUACAAGUAAUAUGGGAUACUAAAUAGAUUUCCUUGUGACAGCAUCAGCAGAAAUUCAAGACAUUAAUUACCACAAUGCCAGGAUUUCGCAAUCAAAGAUGGUUCCCUUGUUAUAAUAGAAUUAUAUAAGCACGGCAUCUUAUCUUUAACAGAUUCCUCAGUAAUGUCAUUUUAGCAACUUGCUAACCAUCAUAUUGCUGGAGCUAACUGCAAUAUGUAAGAUAAAAAUUGCUUUAAUUUCAAAUUUUAUCUCGUGCCUUAUAUAACUCUUUUAUAACGAGUUAGGUAUCUUUGAUUACGAAAUCCUGGCAUUAUGAUAAUCAAUGUCUUGAAUUUCUGAUGGAAAUUUGACAAGUUCUCGCUACAAAGCAUGCAAAAUUGUCAAUUGCCGAAAUAGUAAAAGCCAAAUUGGUCAAGAUGGGGAGGAAUAUUGACAGCUAGGUGCACACAAAAUUUGAACCCUUUUGUGACAAGGGUGGGGCACUUUUGCCCAAUUUUAGUAUUUAAACGAACAUAAAUUAUCUGGGAAGGAACACUUUCACCAAGUGUUUGCUAGAGCUAGAUAGCGAUGUAUCUGAGGUAAUGUGUAUAAGAAUGUAGUUUGAGCCGUUACUUCAAUUCCUAUAACUUUUGUGAUCGCGUAACUAUUAAGAGUGUCAUUCAUUAAUUUGCAUGUUUUGCCACGUCAAAAACGAAGAGAUCGAAACAAUCAUGCAGAUAUAUGUAAAUAACACUAUCUUAGCGCUCUCCAACCGAUUUCUGGGUAUUUUUUAGAGUUGCUGCAAUUUUCGUAAUAGGAUGAAACAUGUCAAUGUCACUUUAAUUAAUCAUGACAAACUACAUGCUUUAGUUAUCUUAAAUAUCAAAAUUAUAAUGUAAUUCGAUAAUUUCGAUAAUUCGAUAAUUACUUCCUGCGUACAAUUUUGGUUUGAAAUUAAUCUAGUCAAUUGUUAAUGAACAAACAUAGCAAUAAGUGUUAUUAUUUUUUACAAAGUUCCAUAGCUAGUUGCACACUGGCAAUAAUAAGGAUUUGUAAUAACUUAAAAUGGCUUUGCCUUUAGAAUUACUUCAAAAAUCACUACAUGGUUAUUUUGUAAAUCCGGCAUUCUGAUUUUAGCUAUAUUUAAAGCACUGUUAUCACAUCGACUACCCCAAUUUGCACGGAAAAUACAAAAUGUACAUGCUGCCGGACUUAUUCUUUUUCAGAAAAAAUUAAAUUCGAUCCCAAAGUCAGUAGAAAUGUUUUUACUAAUAUA